UAGGGAAUAUUGGUAAUCUGCGAAAGCGGGAACCAGCAACGCCGCGUGUGCGAUGAAGGCCUUCGGGUUGUAAAGCACUUUUCGGGAGGAAGAGGAAGGACUGUACUCCCGGAAUAAGUCUCGGCUAACUACGUGCCAGCAGCCGCGGUAAUACGUAGGAGGCUAACGUUAUCCGGAUUUACUGGGCGUAAAGCGCGUGCAGGCGGUUUGGUAAGUUGGACGUGAAAGCUCCCGGCUCAACUGGGAGAGGUCGUUCAAUACUGCUGGACUUGAGGAUGGUAGAGGGAGGUGGAAUUCCGGGUGUAGUGGUGAAAUGCGCAGAUAUCCGGAGGAACACCAGUGGCGAAGGCGGCCUCCUGGACCAUUCCUGACGCUAAGACGCGAAGGCUAGGGUAGCAAACG
rnacentral:rRNA from 1 species